CUACGCCCUAGUGGCGGACGGGUGAGUAACGCGUGGGUAACCUGCCAUAUACAGGGGGAUAACACUUAGAAAUAGGUGCUAAUACCGCAUAAGCGCACAGGGGCGCAUGCCCCGGUGUGAAAAACUCCGGUGGUGUGAGAUGGACCCGCGUCUGAUUAGCUGGUUGGCGGGGUAACGGCCCACCAAGGCGACGAUCAGUAGCCGGCCUGAGAGGGUGGACGGCCACAUUGGGACUGAGACACGGCCCAAACUCCUACGGGAGGCAGCAG
rnacentral:rRNA from 1 species